CCCUUAGAUGUCCUGGGCUGCACGCGCGCUACACUGAUGUGUCCAGUAAGCACCUAACCUCUUCCGAAAGGAACGGGUAACCUUUGCAAAGCACAUCGUGAUGGGGAUAGAUUAUUGCAAUUAUUAGUCUUGAACGAGGAAUUCCUAGUAAGCACAAGUCAUCAGCUUGUGUUGAUUACGUCCCUGCCCUUUGUACACACCGCCCGUCGCGCCUACCGAUUGAAUGUUCCGGUGAGCUCUUCGGACUGCGCGGUCUGCAGUUUCUGCGUUCCGUGCGGAAAGUUGCGCAAACCUUAACAUUUAGAGGAAGGAGAAGUCGUAACA
rnacentral:rRNA from 1 species